GACGAACGCUGGCGGCGUGCUUAACACAUGCAAGUCGAACGAUGAAGCCGGAGCUUGCUCUGGUGAAUUAGUGGCGAACGGGUGAGUAACACGUGAGUAACCUGCCCUUGACUCUGGGAUAACUGCUAGAAAUGGUAGCUAAUACCGGAUACGACCCUCGGCGGCAUCGCCAGGGGGUGGAAAGAAUUUCGGUCAAGGAUGGACUCGCGGCCUAUCAGCUAGUUGGUGAGGUAACGGCUCACCAAGGCGACGACGGGUAGCCGGCCUGAGAGGGUGACCGGCCACACUGGGACGGAGACACGGCCCAGACUCCUACGGGAGGCAGCAGUGGGGAAUAUUGCACAAGGGGCGCAAGCCUGAUGCAGCAACGCCGCGUGAGGGAUGACGGCCUUCGGGUUGUAAACCUCUUUUAGUGGGGACGAAGCGCAAGUGACGGUACCUACAGAAGAAGGACCGGCCAACUACGUGCCAGCCGCCGCCGUAA
rnacentral:rRNA from 1 species